rnacentral:misc_RNA from 1 species
UUGUGUCUAGCGUCUCUGGAGGUCA